rnacentral:snRNA from 1 species
GAAUGUGAGGGCAAUCUGGCUGUGACAUCUGUCACCCCAUUGAUCGCCAGGGUUGAUUCGGCUGAUCUGGCUGGCUAGGCGGAUGUCCCCUUCCUCCUUCACGGCUCCAUGUGUGUCCCUCCCGACGCUGCGUGCUCGGUGGAAGAGGACAACCAUCCCCCAUCCCCGAGGACCAGAGGAGGAGGACGGGUCUUCGGUCAAGGGUAUACCAGUAGCUGUGCUCCCCUGCUAGAACCUCCAAACAAGCUCUCAAGAAUAUCCUCCUUUAGUUUCACUGUGUGAAUGUUUAGAGUGCUAUAUGAUUAGUCAUGUCCAAAUGUACUUUUU